GUCUACGGCCAUACUACCCUGAACAUGCCAGAUCAUGUCUGAUCUUGGAAGCUAAGCAGGGUCAGGCCUGGCUAGUACCUGGAUGGGAAAGAGGGCGUAUGCG